UACGGGGGGGGCAAGCGUUGUUCGGAAUUACUGGGCGUAAAGGGCUCGUAGGCGGCCAACUAAGUCAGACGUGAAAUCCCUCGGCUUAACCGGGGAACUGCGUCUGAUACUGGAUGGCUUGAGUUCGGGAGAGGGAUGCGGAAUUCCAGGUGUAGCGGUGAAAUGCGUAGAUAUCUGGAGGAACACCGGUGGCGAAGCGCAUCCUGGACCGACACUGACGCUGAGGAGCGAAAGCCAGGGGAGCAAACGGGG
rnacentral:rRNA from 1 species